rnacentral:rRNA from 1 species
GAGCUCGUAGGCGGUUUGUCGCGUCUGCCGUGAAAGUCCGAGGCUCAACCUCGGAUCUGCGGUGGGUACGGGCAGACUAGAGUGAUGUAGGGGAGACUGGAAUUCCUGGUGUAGCGGUGAAAUGCGCAGAUAUCAGGAGGAACACCGAUGGCGAAGGCAGGUCUCUGGGCAUUUACUGACGCUGAGGAGCGAAAGCAUGGGGAGCGAACAGGAUUAGAUACCCUGGUAGUCCAUGCCGUAAACGUUGGGCACUAGGUGUGGGGGACAUUCCACGUUUUCCGCGCCGUAGCUAACGCAUUAAGUGCCCCGCCUGGGGAGUACGGCCGCAAGGCUAAAACUCAAAGGAAUUGACGGGGGCCCGCACAAGCGGCGGAGCAUGCGGAUUAAUUCGAUGCAACGCGAAGAACCUUACCAAGGCUUGACAUGUGCCAGACCGCUCCAGAGAUGGGGUUUCCCUUCGGGGCUGGUUCACAGGUGGUGCAUGGUUGUCGUCAGCUCGUGUCGUGAGAUGUUGGGUUAAGUCCCGCAACGAGCGCAACCCUCGUUCCAUGUUGCCAGCACGUAGUGGUGGGGACUCAUGGGAGACUGCCGGGGUCAACUCGGAGGAAGGUGGGGAUGACGUCAAAUCAUCAUGCCCCUUAUGUCUUGGGCUUCACGCAUGCUACAAUGGCCGGUACAAUGGGUUGCGAUACUGUGAGGUGGAGCUAAUCCCUAAAAGCCGGUCUCAGUUCGGAUUGGGGUCUGCAACUCGACCCCAUGAAGUCGGAGUCGCUAGUAAUCGCAGAUCAGCA